rnacentral:rRNA from 1 species
UUGGAGGGCAAGUCUGGUGCCAGCAGCCGCGGUAAUUCCAGCUCCAAUAGCGUAUAUUAAAGUUGUUGCAGUUAAAAAGCUCGUAGUUGAAUUUCGGGGUUAGUAGGUUGGUCAUGCCUCUGGUAUGUACUGGUCUCACUGAUUCCUCCUUCCCGAUGAACCUUAAUGCCAUUAAUUUGGUGUUUUGGGGAAUUUGGACUGUUACUUUGAAAAAAUUAGGGUGUUUAAAGCAAGCUAACGCUUGAAUACAUUAGCAUGGAAUAAUGAAAUAGGACGUUCGAUCCUAUUUUGUUGGUUUCUAGGAUUGACGUAAUGAUUAAUAGGGAUAGUUGGGGGCAUUAGUAUUCAAUUGUCAGAGGUGAAAUUCUUGGAUUUAUUGAAGGCUAACUACUGCGAAAGCAUUUGCCAAGGAUGUUUUCAUUAAUCAAGAACGAAAGUUAGGGGAUCGAAGACGAUCAGAUACCGUCGUAGUCUUAACCAUAAACUAUGCCGACUAGGGAUCGGAUGAUGUUAAUUUUUUAAUGACUCAUUCGGCGCCUUACGGGAAAC